rnacentral:rRNA from 1 species
UACGAAGGGGGCUAGCGUUGCUCGGAAUCACUGGGCGUAAAGGGCGCGUAGGCGGAUCUUUAAGUCAGGGGUGAAAGCCCAAGGCUCAACCUUGGAAUUGCCUUCGAUACUGUUAGGCUUGAGACCGGAAGAGGUAAGUGGAACUGCGAGUGUAGAGGUGAAAUUCGUAGAUAUUCGCAAGAACACCAGUGGCGAAGGCGGCUUACUGGUCCGGUUCUGACGCUGAGGCGCGAAAGCGUGGGGAGCAAACAGG